CUUAAAUUGAAGAGUUUGAUCAUGGCUCAGAUUGAACGCUGGCGGCAGGCCUAACACAUGCAAGUCGAGCGGUAGCACAGAGGAGCUUG
rnacentral:rRNA from 1 species